rnacentral:lncRNA from 1 species
UCUGAGUCCUCGCCGCGAACUCUUGAAGGUUACUAAAUGCUCCUCCCUCUUCUGAAAUGUCGAGUUCGCAAUCAAAAGCUUGGAAGCCCUGGCGAAAUCAAGCAGUGACGUGCCUCCUCCGUUCCUAACCCCAAAGCCGAAGCCACCGUGCCUUCACCCAGAGACCGACAUCCAUCACUAGGAGUCUAUGAAGAGUCGAAAGGGACUCUCCCGAAAUAACGUUGCAGUCCUUGCACAUACCCCUAUCGCCCCUUCUGAGAAGGAUGUAAUCAAUAUGAGUCCUCGCUGCCGAAGUCUUGAAGGUGACCAAAUGCUCCUCCCUCUUCUGAAAUGUCGAGUUCGCAAUCAAAAUCUCGGAAGCCCUAGUGAAAUCAAGCAAUGACGUGCCCCCUCCGUUCCUAACCCCAAAGCCGAAGCCACCGUGCACCUCACCAUAACCACCAGCAUCAGCCCCAAUAUGACCAUUAAUGUCCCCUCCA